UGGGGAAUAUUGGACAAUGGGCGAAAGCCUGAUCCAGCCAUGCCGCGUGUGUGAAGAAGGUCUUCGGAUUGUAAAGCACUUUAAGUUGGGAGGAAGGGCAUUAACCUAAUACGUUAGUGUUUUGACGUUACCGACAGAAUAAGCACCGGCUAACUCUGUGCCAGCAGCCGCGGUAAUACAGAGGGUGCAAGCGUUAAUCGGAAUUACUGGGCGUAAAGCGCGCGUAGGUGGUUUGUUAAGUUGGAUGUGAAAUCCCCGGGCGCAACCUUGGAACUGCAUUCAAAACUGACUGACUAGAUUAUGGUAGAGGGUGGUGGAAUUUCCUGUGUAGCGGUGAAAUGCGUAGAGAUAGGAAGGAACACCAGUGGCGAAGGCGACCACCUGGACUAAUACUGACACUGAGGUGCGAAAGCGUGGGGAGCAAACA
rnacentral:rRNA from 1 species